AAUGAGGCUGGCGGCAGGCCUAUCACAUGCAAGUCGAGCGGAUGAAGGGAGCUUGCUCCUGGAUUCAGCGGCGGACGGGUGAGUAAUGCCUAGGAAUCUGCCUGGUAGUGGGGGAUAACGUCCGGAAACGGGCGCUAAUACCGCAUACGUCCUGAGGGAGAAAGUGGGGGAUCUUCGGACCUCACGCUAUCAGAUGAGCCUAGGUCGGAUUAGCUAGUUGGUGGGGUAAAGGCCUACCAAGGCGACGAUCCGUAACUGGUCUGAGAGGAUGAUCAGUCACACUGGAACUGAGACACGGUCCAGACUCCUACGGGAGGCAGCAGUGGGGAAUAUUGGACAAUGGGCGAAAGCCUGAUCCAGCCAUGCCGCGUGUGUGAAGAAGGUCUUCGGAUUGUAAAGCACUUUAAGUUGGGAGGAAGGGCAGUAAGUUAAUACCUUGCUGUUUUGACGUUACCAACAAAUAAGCACCGGCUAACUUCGUGCCAGCACCGCGGUAAUACGAAGGGUGCAAGCGUUAAUCGGAAUUACUGGGGUAAAGCGCGUAGUGGUUCAGCAAGUUGGAUGUGAAAUCCCCGGGUCAACCUGGGAACUGC
rnacentral:rRNA from 2 species